rnacentral:lncRNA from 1 species
AGAAGACUUUCCCAGGCACACAGCUAGUGAGUUUCUAAGUUUAGAGUUCUCUGGAGAGAGAGAGAGAGAGAGAGACAGACAGACAGACAGACAGAGAGAAAGAACAAAGAAGAGACAGAGAAGAGAGAAAAAAGAGAGAAGAGAGAAAAAAGAGGAGAGAGAAGAAAGAGAAAAGAGAGAAAAAAGGAGAAAGAAGUGAGAAAGAGAGAAGAAAGAAGCGAGAGACAGAGAGGAGAGAAGAAAGAGAAGAGAGAAAAGAGAGAAAAAGAGAGAGAACACGAGAGUGAUAUGGUGAAGAGUGGGGUGUAGAAGGAAGAUUGGAAGGCCACAAAGCCACUGGUGGACAAGUAUUCCAGGGCAAGAGGAUCUAGAGCAGCGUUGGUGAACAUUUUCAAAAUCCAGUACCCAAACUGCAACUUCAAGCUGCAUUAUCUCAGAGAGCAGAGGGAGGAAGUGCUUGCAUUUGGCUACUGGACAGAGGGGUGGGGGCAGGUGAAAAAAGCCAUUGGCAAGGGGGAACAGAGCAAACAGAGCAGUCCUACCCCCCCCCCCCCCGGCACACCUGGGCAUCUGUGCCAUGGCUUUGCCAACACAGACCUAGAGGUUUCAUCAGGCAGGAAUGGUAGUUACAGCAAUGGUCAUUAAAGCUAUCAUGACUGAUAGCUGUGAAAGUAACUGAUCAAGAAUAGAAAAUCCCACUGAAGACAAAGAGAUAUAGAGCAAAAUUUGAUUGAAAAAAGGCUGCUUCAAAGACUAUGAUCUCAGAGAUCACCACUUCAUAAAGAAAUGCUGGUUAUGGACUCUCU